rnacentral:rRNA from 1 species
AGGAGGCGGUUAUCGGAUUACUGGGCGUAAGCGCGCGUAGGCGGUUUAUUAAGUCAGAUGUGAAUGACCAGGAUCAACCUGGGAAUUGCAUUUGAGACUGGUUCGCUAGAGUGUGGUAGAGGUGAGUGGAAUUUCAGGUGUAGCGGUGAAAUGCGUAGAGAUCUGAAGGAACAUCAGUGGCGAAGGCGACUCACUGGGCCAUUACUGACGCUGAGGUGCGAAAGCGUGGGUAGCAAACAGGAUUAGAUACCCUGGUAGUCCACGCCCUAAACGAUGUCAACUAGGUGUAUGGAGAAUUUAUUCUUUGUGUAUCGAAGCUAACGCGAUAAGUUGACCGCCUGGGGAGUACGGUCGCAAGACUAAAACUCAAAUGAAUUGACGGGGGCCCGCACAAGCGGUGGAGCAUGUGGUUUAAUUCGAUGCAACGCGAAGAACCUUACCUGGCCUUGACAUGUACGGAAGAUUGAAGAGAUUCGAUUGUGCCUUCGGGAACCG